rnacentral:rRNA from 1 species
UACGGAGGAUGCGAGCGUUAUCCGGAUUUAUUGGGUUUAAAGGGUGCGUAGGCGGACUGUCAAGUCAGCGGUAAAAUUGAGAGGCUCAACCUCUUCUCGCCGUUGAAACUGGUGGUCUUGAGUGGAUGAGAAGUACGCGGAAUGCGUGGUGUAGCGGUGAAAUGCAUAGAUAUCACGCAGAACUCCGAUUGCGAAGGCAGCGUACCGGCAUCCAACUGACGCUGAGGCACGAAAGCGUGGGGAUCAAACAGG